rnacentral:rRNA from 1 species
UACGUAGGGGCCAAGCGUUGUCCGGAUUUAUUGGGCGUAAAGAGCUCGUAGGCGGUUGGGUAAGUCGGGUGUGAAAACUCCAGGCUCAACUUGGAGAUGCCACCCGAUACUGCUCUGACUUGAGUUCGGUAGGGGAGUGGGGAAUUCCUGGUGUAGCGGUGAAAUGCGCAGAUAUCAGGAAGAACACCGGUGGCGAAGGCGCUCUGCUAGGCCGCAACUGACACUGAGGGACGAAAGCUAGGGGAGCGAAUGGG